rnacentral:lncRNA from 1 species
UGAGGAUUGUUUCCUGUUUUUCUUAAGCUUUCCACCCAGUUGCCAUUAUCCCACAAAUGAUUUGUUAGGCAUGCAGGUUUGUAUUGUUUCUGAUACUAUAAGGACAACAAAUACAGCUCUUUUUUUUCAAACUGCUACACCCAGGAAGCUGGAAGAAGAGUAGAUAUUACAUAUUGAGUUUCUGAGUGUCAGGCCCAUAUUGUGUCUGGAGUUGGUUCCUGCUGGUGGGUUCGUGGUCUCGCUGACUUCAAGAAUGGAGCUGCAGACCUUCCAAGACAAUGGGAUGUCAUUUAAAUACCCAGAAAGAAACAACUUGCCCACUGUUAUACUGAUUCCCUGAAAGACUUCAAAGGAUGAAGAGUUUACAGCUACAGAGUAUUCAAUAGACCUUGGGUCAGUGUAGAAUCAGAGUUACCUUUAUGUUUUAAAAUAAAUUUGAUUUUAAUUAAAUUUAUGUAUUUGUUUUUUUGUUGUCUGCUUAGAAGACCAGGCAAAUCAUUGUAAGUUUGUGUCCUCCACUCACUUACCCACUUAUCUGUAAGAAUUACCUAGCCAGGAACACUAGCCGUUCACGUGUUCGGUCCUCCUUAGCUGACUCGCCGCCCUCGCUGCCGCACCAUGGACGCCCCGAGGCACGUGGUCAACUUCGGGCCUGGUCCCGCCAAGCUGCCUCACUCAGUGUUGUUAGAGAUAAAAAAGGAAUUAUUAGACUACAAAGGAGUUGGCAUUAGUGUUCUUGAAAUGAGUCACAGGCCAUCAGAUUUUGCCAAGAUUAUUAACGAUACAGAGAAUCUUGUGCGGGAAUUGCUAGCCGUUCCAGACAGCUGUAAGGUGAUUUUUGUGCAAGGAAGUGGGUCUGGCCAGUUCGGUGCUGUCCCCUUAAACCUGAUUGGCUUGAAAGCAGGAAGAUGUGCGGACUAUGUGGUGACAGGGACUUGGUCAGCUAAGGCCGCAGAAGAAGCCAAGAAGUUUGGGACUAUAAAUAUCAUUCACCCUAAACUUGGGAGUUAUACAAAAAUUCCAGAUCCAAGCACCUGGAACCUCAACCCGGAUGCCUCCUAUGUGUAUUAUUGCGCAAA